UACGUAGGUGGCAAGCGUUGUCCGGAUUUACUGGGUGUAAAGGGCGUGCAGCCGGAGAGACAAGUCAGAUGUGAAAGCCCGGGGCUCAACCCCGGGACUGCAUUGGGAACUGCCCUGCUGGAGUGCCGGAGGGGCAGGCGGAAUUCCUAGUGUAGCGGUGAAAUGCGUAGAUAUUAGGAGGAACACCAGUGGCGAAGGCGGCCUGCUGGACGGUGACUGACGCUGAGGCUCGAAAGCGUGGGGAGCAAACAGG
rnacentral:rRNA from 1 species